ACAGCGCUUUUCCGUGAGUGGUGUACAGAUAAGUCCGCGUCCAUGGGUAGCCAUAAAGUUGAUCAUUUCUGGAGUUACCUGUUCAGCAGC
rnacentral:antisense_RNA from 1 species